rnacentral:lncRNA from 1 species
UUAUGUGAUCACCAAUUUCAUGCAAAAAGCGAAAAGGGAAAAUGAUUGGAAAAACAAACAUUUAACAUGAAUUUAUUGAAUGAAAAUAUCAUUGUAUUUAUGUUGCCAACAAAUUUUUUUUUUAGGUUUUAUGUGAUCACCAAUUUCAUGCAAAAAGCGAAAAGGGAAAAUGAUUGGAAAAACAAACAUUUAACAUGAAUUUAUUGAAUGAAAAUAUCAUUGUAUUUAUGUUGCCAACAAUUUCAUCACUCCUCCUUUUGGCAUGGGAGAAGGGUUU